UGGCCUGGAACUCACUGUUACACCAGAAUGGCCUUGAAUUUUCUGUGAUCCUCCUGCCGCUGCCUCAAAAGACUACAGAAAUGUACAUCACACCUGGCUUGGGCUUUUUAAAGAUCAAGGUCACUACACAUCCACAUUUGCCUACGUUUUUUCUUGUGUACCCCAAUAUAACAGAUCAACACCCUAAGCCCUCCUGUACUUAAAGCUGCCCCACUCUCUAUUCAAUUGCCAGGCACAUACACACUCAUUCCCAAUCACAGCCUUGCUCAGCUCAAGAGCACCUACUGUGUGUAUCCUCUCUCUAAAGCCCUCACUUCAGUCCUGUCUACAUUCUCUAGUGGAUCGGAAAUGGACAAGAAGGAGGGACGAACAUCUGGAUUCAUUCUAGUGUCUUAAAAAAGAAUAAAACAGGUACAUAGGGCUUCUAGCUCAGGGUGAUGAAUGUCUGGGCUUCUGGUUGUAAAAAGGAAUUAAUUAAAAAAAAAAAAAAAAAGCACGAGUUUGGAACCCAAGCAGUGGUGGCACACACCUUUAAUCAUAGCACGUGGGAUGCAAAGGCAGGCAGAGCUCUGUGAGUUCAAGAACAGCUCUACAGAGUAAGUUCCAGGAAGCCAGAGCUGUUACACAGAGAAACCCAAUCUUGGGAAGCAAAACAAACAAACAAACC
rnacentral:lncRNA from 1 species